rnacentral:rRNA from 1 species
UGAGGAAUAUUGAGCAAUGGGCGCAAGCCUGACUCAGCAACGCCGCGUGGAUGAUGAAGGCCUUCAGGUUGUAAAAUCCUUUUCUGAGGGAAGAUAAUGACGGUACCUCAGGAAUAAGUUCCGGCUAACUACGUGCCAGCAGCCGCGGUAAAACGUAGGGGACGAGCGUUAUCCGGAUUUACUGGGCGUAAAGCGCAUGUAGGUGGCGCGGAAAGUUGGACGUGAAAGCUCCCGGCUUAACUGGGAGAGGUCGUUCAAAACUUACCGCGCUUGAGGUUGGAAGAGGAGAGCGGAAUUCCCGGUGUAGUGGUGGAAUGCGUAGAUAUCGGGAGGAACACCAGUGGCGAAAGCGGCUCUCUGGUUCACACCUGACACUGAGAUGCGAAAGCGUGGGGAGCGAACGGGAUUAGAUACCCCGGUAGUCCACGCUGUAAACGAUGGAUACUAGGUGUAGGGGGUCAUUAACCCCCUCUGUGCCGAAGCUAACGCGUUAAGUAUCCCGCCUGGGGACUACGG